CCUACGGGUGGCUGCAGUGGGGAAUAUUGCACAAUGGAGGCAAGUCUGAAGCAGCAAUGCCGCGUGCGUGAGGACGGAUUUCGGUAUGUUAAGCUCCAUUAGCAGGGAGUUGAAUAGAAGGUAGUUGAAAAAGAAGCCCCUGCUAACUACGUGACAACAGCCGAGGUCAUACGUAGGAGUCAAGCGUUAUCCGGAUUUACAAGGUUUAAAGGGAGCGUAGACGGUAAGACAAGUCAGAGGUGAAAUCCCAAGGCUCAACUAUGGCACUGCUUCUGAACCGGUCGAGCUAGAGUGUAGUAGAGGUAGGAGGAAUGUCUGGUGUAGCGGUGAAAUGCGUAGAGAUUA
rnacentral:rRNA from 1 species